GAUGAACGCUGGCGGCGUGCUUAACACAUGCAAGUCGAACGGAAAGGCUCCUGCUUGCAGGGGUACUCGAGUGGCGAACGGGUGAGUAACACGUGGGUGAUCUGCCCUGCACUUCGGGAUAAGCCUGGGAAACUGGGUCUAAUACCGGAUAGGACGAUGGUUUGGAUGCCAUUGUGGAAAGUUUUUCGGUGUGGGAUGGGCUCGCGGCCUAUCAGCUUGUUGGUGGGGUAAUGGCCUACCAAGGCGUCGACGGGUAGCCGGCCUGAGAGGGUGUACGGCCACAUUGGGACUGAGAUACGGCCCAGACUCCUACGGGAGGCAGCAGUGGGGAAUAUUGCACAAUGGGCGCAAGCCUGAUGCAGCGACGCCGCGUGGGGGAUGACGGCCUUCGGGUUGUAAACUCCUUUCGCUAGGGACGAAGCGUUUUGUGACGGUACCUGGAGAAGAAGCACCGGCUAACUACGUG
rnacentral:rRNA from 1 species